UACAGAGGGUGCGAGCGUUGUCCGGAAUUACUGGGCGUAAAGGGCGCGUAGGCGGCCAGGUAAGUAGGGGGUGAAAUCUGACGGCUCAACCGUCAGACUGCCUUCUAGACUGCCCGGCUAGAGCACGGUAGAGGCUGGUGGAAUUCCCGGUGUAGCGGUGGAAUGCGUAGAGAUCGGGAAGAACAUCCGUGGCGAAGGCGGCCAGCUGGGCCGUUGCUGACGCUGAGGCGCGACAGCGUGGGGAGCAAACAGG
rnacentral:rRNA from 1 species